GGUCACGUGACGGGGCUUCGGCGCUCUCCUUCUCCGACUACUUUUGAAUUUAAAAUAUAAUUGAACGCCUCGAUUCAUAUGGACGGACUCCGGGGCUUUCUGAAAGAUGGUUGUAGGUCGGCUCUCGACAGAUGCUCCGCGACGUGUCAUCCGCGUCGCGUCUGGAACAUUUCCGAACGCAAAAUCGACUGUUUUGUGGGCUGCAGCGUCACGUGACCCGCACGCGCCUCGGGUAAAGAUGGCGCCCGGCGGUUAGAAAACAAGCAGCGCGAGCAGCGGCGACAUCCUUCACUCCGCCGCGACGUUUGGGAUCCAUAGAAACCGUGUGGAGUACGUGUUUGACUUACUGGACAUUAGCUGUCAGACAGCGGGUUUGCUCUGUGUUUUUUGUCACGCUCACAAUUCCCGUCGGUUUAGGGCCGCUAAGCAAAGUCUGGUUUCUAAACGUGCAAGCUGAUUGACAUCAACGUCCAGCAGCAACGGCAGACCAGUUAGUGUCUUGUUGGAUCAGUUUUGGCAAACACGUGUGGAGGUGGACGUUGUGACGAUGGAUCCUGGACAAGAUUUGCUUCUGGCUGCUCUUAGUGAAAGUGGAAUCUGCCCUAAUGAUCUGUUUGAUGUUGAUCCUCAGGACACACUUCCACUCCCUGCUUCA